rnacentral:rRNA from 1 species
AUUGAACGCUGGCGGCAGGCCUAACACAUGCAAGUCGAACGAGUGGCGGACGGGUAAGUAGUGUAUAGGAAACUUCUCGGUCUAGGGGGAUAACGGCUGGAAAGGGUUGCUACUACCGCAUACCACCGGAUGUGCUCGGAUGGGAUUAGCUUGUGGGUGAGGUAACGGCUCACCUAGGCGACGAUACCUAGCUGGCCUGAGAGGAUGACCGGCCACACUGGAACUGAGACACGGUCCAGACUCCUACGGGAGGCAGCAGUGGGGAAUAUUGCACAAUGGGCGCAAGCCUGAUGCAGCAACGCCGCGUGUAUGAAGAAGGCCUUCGGGUUGUAAAGUACUGUCAGCGGGGAGGCGGUACCCGAACAAGAAGCACCGGCUAACUCCGUGCCAGCAGCCGCGGUAAUAC